GACAGAGGGGGCAAGCGUUGUCCGGAAUUACUGGGCGUAAAGCGCACGUAGGCGGCGCCGUAAGUCAGGGGUGAAAUCCCGGAGCUCAACUCCGGAACUGCCUUUGAAACUGCGGUGCUAGAAUCCUGGAGAGGCGAGUGGAAUUCCGAGUGUAGAGGUGAAAUUCGUAGAUAUUCGGAAGAACACCAGUGGCGAAGGCGACUCGCUGGACAGGUAUUGACGCUGAGGUGCGAAAGCGUGGGGAGCAAACAGG
rnacentral:rRNA from 1 species